UACGUAGGGUGCGAGCGUUGUCCGGAAUUAUUGGGCGUAAAGAGCUCGUAGGCGGUGUGUCACGUCGGCCGUGAAAACCUGCAGCUUAACUGUGGGCGUGCGGUCGAUACGGGCAUGACUGGAGUUCGGCAGGGGAGACUGGAAUUCCUGGUGUAGCGGUGAAAUGCGCAGAUAUCAGGAGGAACACCGGUGGCGAAGGCGGGUCUCUGGGCCGAUACUGACGCUGAGGAGCGAAAGCGUGGGGAGCAAACAGG
rnacentral:rRNA from 1 species